CCAUAACUGGGAGCAGAGGUAUAACCUUGUUGAUCAUAUGGUGGUGGUUGACCAUAACCUGAUUGAGGAUACCCACCAUAGCCAUCCUGAACAUAACCUUGUCCUUGCUGAUUAUAACCAGAAGCUGGUGGCUGACUGUAAUUAUAGCUCGUAUUAUCUGCUGGAGCUGCAGGACCACCAGGGGUUGGUUGAGAAGAAGCUGGCUGAUUAUAGUAAUCAUAACCCUGACCUGUCUGCUGAUUGACAGAUACAUUUGACUGAUCCCAGUUGGUGGGAUAUCCACCAGAUGAUGGUUGGGGUGGAUAUCCCGCGUAAGGUGGCUGAGACAUAUUAUAC
rnacentral:misc_RNA from 1 species